AUUGAACGCUGGCGGAAUGCUUUACACAUGCAAGUCGAACGGCAGCACGGGGGCAACCCUGGUGGCGAGUGGCGAACGGGUGAGUAAUGUAUCGGAACGUGCCCGGUCGUGGGGGAUAACGUAGUGAAAAUUACGCUAAUACCGCAUACGAUCUAUGGAUGAAAGCGGGGGAUCGCAAGACCUCGCGCGAUUGGAGCGGCCGAUAUCAGAUUAGGUAGUUGGUGGGGUAAAGGCUCACCAAGCCGACGAUCUGUAGCUGGUCUGAGAGGACGACCAGCCACACUGGAACUGGGACACGGUCCAGACUCCUACGGGAGGCAGCAGUGGGGAAUUUUGGACAAUGGGCGCAAGCCUGAUCCAGCCAUUCCGCGUGCAGGAUGAAGGCCCUCGGGUUGUAAACUGCUUUUGUACGGAACGAAACGGCGAGCUCUAAUACAGUUUGCUAAUGACGGUACCGUAAGAAUAAGCACCGGCUAACUACGUGCCAGCCGCCGCCGUAAAAC
rnacentral:rRNA from 1 species